rnacentral:rRNA from 1 species
UUCCUGUAGGUGAACCUGCGGAAAGGAUCAUUA